rnacentral:rRNA from 1 species
GCUAUUGGAGUUCGAUUAAGCCAUGCGAGUCGAGAGUCUUAGGGACUCGGCGUACCGCUCAGUAACACGUGGGUAACCUGCCCUAUGCUGGGGAAUAACCUCGGGAAACUGAGAAUAAUGCCCCAUAGUCCACAAUGCCUGGAACGGUUUGUGGAUCAAAGCUCCGGCGGCAUAGGAUGGGCCUGCGGCGUAUCAGGUUGUAGGGGGUGUAACGUACCCUCUAGCCAUCAACGCGUACGGGUGUUGGGAGACAUAGCCCGGAGAUGGAUUCUGAGACACGAAUCCAGACCCUACGGGGUGCAGCAGGCGCGAAAACUUGGCAAUGCGAGAAAUCGUGACCAGGGAACUCCAAGUGGCUGGGGUAAGACCCAGUCUUUUCUUGACUCUUCAAAGGUCUUGGAAUAAGGGGUGGGUAAGGACGGUGCCAGCCGCCGCGGAAUACCGGCGCCUCAAGUGGUAGUCGAUUUUAUUGGGCCUAAAACGUCCGUAGCCUGUUUUGGYACAUUCGUGGGUAAAUCAACCAGCUCAACUGGUUGAAAUUCUGCGAGCACGGCCAGACUUGGGGACCGGGAGAGGUGKGGGGUACGCUCAGGGUAGGGGUAAAAUCCUGUCAUCCUGAGCKGACCACCUGUUGCGAAGGCGCCACACUARAACGGAUCCSACGGUCAGGGACGAAGCCUAGGGGCACGAACCGGAUUAGAUACCCGGGUAGUCCUAGGUGUAAACGCUGUGGACUUGGUGUUGGGGACUCUCCGAGAUUCCUCAGUGCCGAAGCGAAGGUGAUAAGUCCACUGCCUGGGGAGUACGGUCGCAAGGCUGAAACUUAAAGGAAUUGGCGGGGGAGCACCGC